rnacentral:rRNA from 1 species
GCUUGUCUCAAAGAUUAAGCCAUGCAUGUCUUAGUGUAAAUAACUCUUAUGAAACUGCGAAUGGCUCAUUAAAUCAGUUAUCAAAUACGUGAUGGUCGCCUACUACAUGGAUAACCGUAGUAAUUCUAGAGCUAAUACAUGCACAAAGGCCCAUUCACGUGGGUUGUGAUUAUUAGAUUCAAACCGGCCUCGUUCUGGUGAUUCAUAAUAACUGUUCGAAGCGCACGGCCUCGCGCCGGCGCUAGUUCAUUCAAAUUUCUGCCCUAUCAGCUUUCGACGGUAGUGUAGUGGACUACCGUGGCGCUAACGGGUGACGGAGAAUUAGGGUUCGGUUCCGGAGAGGGAGCCUGAGAAACGGCUACCACAUCCAAGGAAGGCAGCAGG